GGGAAAACAUUUACAGGAGUGUGAAUAGUUUUGUAUUUUCUUAGCUAAAAACAACUAGGAACAGUUACAAAUCAGGUUUAAACAAUGUUUUAACCUCAGAAAAUGGUUUCAGAUUCUGCUCCUGGAUCAUCCAAAGAAGAAAAUCAGGGACACCCAGAAAUAUAAACCUUUCCGAAGGAUUGCCAAGAGUUGUCGCCCCUCUUUGAAAGUCCUCUGCAAAGAAGUCCUCAAUGUAAAGGUUCAGCAGGGGGAACACUCAUCUGUCCAAGAUGCACAGGCCACCAUGAGGCUGUAUACACUAGUGAGAAAACAGUGGGAAGCAGAGAUUAAAGCUGGUAAGAAAAGCAAAGAUUCAGGGGAGAAAAAAAAGAGGAAACCGAGAUAAGAACGACACCAGGAUAACAAAACCAACAUGGAGGAGAACAACAUCCCCAGAAUCAGAGCAGCUGGAAUCAAUCUGGACUUGUUUUCAUAAAGAAGAGAAUCCAGUGGCCUUCUUGGCCAACUAUUGAGAAAACACGUGUCUGAGCCAAACAUUACUGAUGGUUGUGAAAGAAAAACAAAAAACUUUUUGUUGGCGACUCAGUUCAAUGGAAGUCAAAAUGUUCCAGAAGAGUUUUUGGGUUGAGACUGUUUAGCUUUAGGCCUGAUAUGUUUCUCAGCUAUCUCUCCUUUAACUCCAGUAGAUUGAAAUGGUCUCACAUUAAGUCUGCGUUACAGAUUAUUUUCAAAGAUUUCCCUUUAAAUGGUGUCUAAAAUGUCCAAGGGUUCUUUGAAACUUCAUUUCUUACAGCAACCCCAUCAUUAUUAAAGUCUUUAGUAAAGAUGUGUCCAAUAAGAUGUCACUUCUUUUUUGAAAGAAAAAUCAUAUUUCAAUAUUUUUUCUUGUUUAAAUAUUUUUCCAGCAUGUUGUUCCUCACAGUGAGAUUCAUAUUUCUAAAUAUUCCUUAUCUUUCUCUUUAGAUCUUUCCACAAUCAUGUUGGUUGUGUAUAUUUUCCCUUUUAAGACUGUUUUUUAAAAGAAAUCAGAUGUCUAUCAAGGACUUCU